rnacentral:rRNA from 1 species
AUGAACGCUGGCGGCGUGCCUAAUACAUGCAAGUCGAACGCUUGCUUGAGGACUUGUCUUCAAGCGGGAGUGGCGAACGGGUGAGUAAUACAUAAGCAAUCUGCCCAUCGGCUUGGGAUAACAGUUGGAAACGACUGCUAAUACCGGAUAGGUGAUAGGGAGGCAUCUCUCGAUCACUAAAGUUGGGAUACAACACGGAUGGAUGAGCUUAUGGCGUAUUAGCUAGUAGGUGAGGUAACGGCUCACCUAGGCGAUGAUACGUAGCCGACCUGAGAGGGUGACCGGCCACAUUGGGACUGAGACACGGCCCAGACUCCUACGGGAGGCAGCAGUGGGGAAUAUUGCACAAUGGAGGAAACUCUGAUGCAGCGACGCCGCGUGAGUGAAGAAGUAAUUCGUUAUGUAAAGCUCUAUCAGCAGGGAAGAUAGUGACGGUACCUGACUAAGAAGCUCCGGCUAAAUACGUG